GAUGAAGAACGUAGCGAAAUGCGAUAAGUAGUGUGAAUUGCAGAAUUCAGUGAAUCAUCGAAUCUUUGAACGCACAUUGCGCCUCCUGGCAUUCCGGGAGGCAUGCCUGUUCGAGCGUCAUCAAACCCCAUCGUGCAAAUGAAUUAUUUUUUUUGCGCGGAAGUGACGAUUGAGCGAGAAUAACAAAUCCUCUCGCACCUCGUCGAAAUGAUUGCGGGCGGAAUUUGGGAUCGGGUUCCUCGGCGUAGUGUAUCAAUGCAUAUUUAUGCAACUUGCCGCGGAGUUGAGCCUGACCCACGCGUUCUCGCCGUACAAACACCUCAUUACUUUACAAGUUUUUGACCUCGGAUCAGGUAGGGAUACCCGCUGAACUUAAGCAUAUCAAAAGCGGAGGA
rnacentral:misc_RNA from 1 species